rnacentral:rRNA from 1 species
UGCAGUCGAACGAUGAAGCCAGCUUGCUGGUGGAUUAGUGGCGAACGGGUGAGUAACACGUGAGUAACCUGCCCUUGACUCUGGGAUAAGCCUGGGAAACCGGGUCUAAUACUGGAUACGACCUUCCCACGCAUGUGGUGUUGGUGGAAAGCUUUUGUGGUUUUGGAUGGACUCGCGGCCUAUCAGCUUGUUGGUGGGGUAAUGGCCUACCAAGGCGACGACGGGUAGCCGGCCUGAGAGGGUGACCGGCCACACUGGGACUGAGACACGGCCCAGACUCCUACGGGAGGCAGCAGUGGGGAAUAUUGCACAAUGGGCGCAAGCCUGAUGCAGCGACGCCGCGUGAGGGAUGAAGGCCUUCGGGUUGUAAACCUCUUUCAGUAGGGAAGAAGCUGAUCUUUUUGGGUUGGUGACGGUACCUGCAGAAGAAGCGCCGGCUAACUACGUGCCAGCAGCCGCGGUAAUACGUAGGGCGCAAGCGUUAUCCGGAAUUAUUGGGCGUAAAGAGCUCGUAGGCGGUUUGUCGCGUCUGCCGUGAAAGUCCGGGGCUUAACCCCGGAUCUGCGGUGGGUACGGGCAGACUAGAGUGCAGUAGGGGAGACUGGAAUUCCUGGUGUAGCGGUGAAAUGCGCAGAUAUCAGGAGGAACACCGAUGGCGAAGGCAGGUCUCUGGGCUGUAACUGACGCUGAGGAGCGAAAGCAUGGGGAGCGAACAGGAUUAGAUACCCUGGUAGUCCAUG